rnacentral:rRNA from 1 species
GGGAAACUGGGAAUAAUACUCCAUAGGUGAUAAUGGCUGGAAUGCCUCUUCACUCAAAAUUGCAAGAUGCUUAAGGAUGGGACUGCGGGAGAUUAGCCUGUUGUUAGGAUAAAAACCUAACAAAGCUAUAAUCUCUACGGGUCGUGAGAGCGAUUGCCCGGAGAUGCACUCUGAGACAUGAGUGCAGGCCCUACGGGGCGCAGCAGGUACGAAAACUUUCCAAUGCACGCAAGUGUGAGAAGGGAAUCCUGAGUGGGUCCGCUUUUGCGGGCUCUUUUCUUGAGUCUAAAGAGCUCAAGGAAUAAGUGGUGGGCAAGACGGUUGCCAGCCGCCGCGGUAAUAACCGCGCCACGAGUGGUAGUCACGUUUAUUGGGCCUAGAGCGUCCGUAGCUGGCUUGAUGUGUCUUUGGUGAAAUCCAAUAGCAAACUAUUGGGCGUGCUGAAGAUACUAUUAGGCUCGGAGCCGGGAGAGGUUGAGGGUAUUUCAUGGGUAGGGGCAAAAUCCUUUAAUCCAUGAAGGACCACCUGUGGCGAAAGCGCUUAACCAGAACGGGCUCGACAGUAAGGGACGAAAGCUUGGGGAGCGACCGGGAUUAGAUA